GUACACAAAAAUGCACAUAUUGUGAGCUCGAUGAGUAGGGCGGGACACGUGGUAUCCUGUCUGAAUAUGGGGGGACCAUCCUCCAAGGCUAAAUACUCCUGACUGACCGAUAGUGAACCAGUACCGUGAGGGAAAGGCGAAAAGAACCCCGGCGAGGGGAGUGAAAAAGAACCUGAAACCGUGUACGUACAAGCAGUGGGAGCCUCUUUAUGGGGUGACUGCGUACCUUUUGUAUAAUGGGUCAGCGACUUAUAUUCUGUAGCAAGGUUAACCGAAUAGGGGAGCCGAAGGGAAACCGAGUCUUAACUGGGCGUUAAGUUGCAGGGUAUAGACCCGAAACCCGGUGAUCUAGCCAUGGGCAGGUUGAAGGUUGGGUAACACUAACUGGAGGACCGAACCGACUAAUGUUGAAAAAUUAGCGGAUGACUUGUGGCUGGGGGUGAAAGGCCAAUCAAACCGGGAGAUAGCUGGUUCUCCCCGAAAGCUAUUUAGGUAGCGCCUCGUGAAUUCAUCUCCGGGGGUAGAGCACUGUUUCGGCAAGGGGGUCAUCCCGACUUACCAACCCGAUGCAAACUGCGAAUACCGGAGAAUGUUAUCACGGGAGACACACGGCGGGUGCUAACGUCCGUCGUGAAGAGGGAAACAACCCAGACCGCCAGCUAAGGUCCCAAAGUCAUGGUUAAGUGGGAAACGAUGUGGGAAGGCCCAGACAGCCAGGAUGUUGGCUUAGAAGCAGCCAUCAUUUAAAGAAAGCGUAAUAGCUCACUGGUCGAGUCGGCCUGCGCGGAAGAUGUAACGGGGCUAAACCAUGCACCGAAGCUGCGGCAGCGACACUAUGUGUUGUUGGGUAGGGGAGCGUUCUGUAAGCCUGUGAAGGUGGCCUGUGAGGGUUGCUGGAGGUAUCAGAAGUGCGAAUGCUGACAUAAGUAACGAUAAAGCGGGUGAAAAGCCCGCUCGCCGGAAGACCAAGGGUUCCUGUCCAACGUUAAUCGGGGCAGGGUGAGUCGACCCCUAAGGCGAGGCCGAAAGGCGUAGUCGAUGGGAAACAGGUUAAUAUUCCUGUACUUGGUGUUACUGCGAAGGGGGGACGGAGAAGGCUAUGUUGGCCGGGCGACGGUUGUCCCGGUUUAAGCGUGUAGGCUGGUUUUCCAGGCAAAUCCGGAAAACCAAGGCUGAGGCGUGAUGACGAGGCACUACGGUGCUGAAGCGACAAAUGCCCUGCUUCCAGGAAAAGCCUCUAAGCAUCAGGUAACAUCAAAUCGUACCCCAAACCGACACAGGUGGUCAGGUAGAGAAUACCAAGGCGCUUGAGAGAACUCGGGUGAAGGAACUAGGCAAAAUGGUGCCGUAACUUCGGGAGAAGGCACGCUGAUAUGUAGGUGAAGCGACUUGCUCGUGGAGCUGAAAUCAGUCGAAGAUACCAGCUGGCUGCAACUGUUUAUUAAAAACACAGCACUGUGCAAACACGAAAGUGGACGUAUACGGUGUGACGCCUGCCCGGUGCCGGAAGGUUAAUUGAUGGGGUUAGCGGUAACGCGAAGCUCUUGAUCGAAGCCCCGGUAAACGGCGGCCGUAACUAUAACGGUCCUAAGGUAGCGAAAUUCCUUGUCGGGUAAGUUCCGACCUGCACGAAUGGCGUAAUGAUGGCCAGGCUGUCUCCACCCGAGACUCAGUGAAAUUGAACUCGCUGUGAAGAUGCAGUGUACCCGCGGCAAGACGGAAAGACCCCGUGAACCUUUACUAUAGCUUGACACUGAACAUUGAGCCUUGAUGUGUAGGAUAGGUGGGAGGCUUUGAAGUGUGGACGCCAGUCUGCAUGGAGCCGACCUUGAAAUACCACCCUUUAAUGUUUGAUGUUCUAACGUUGGCCCGUAAUCCGGGUUGCGGACAGUGUCUGGUGGGUAGUUUGACUGGGGCGGUCUCCUCCUAAAGAGUAACGGAGGAGCACGAAGGUUGGCUAAUCCUGGUCGGACAUCAGGAGGUUAGUGCAAUGGCAUAAGCCAGCUUGACUGCGAGCGUGACGGCGCGAGCAGGUGCGAAAGCAGGUCAUAGUGAUCCGGUGGUUCUGAAUGGAAGGGCCAUCGCUCAACGGAUAAAAGGUACUCCGGGGAUAACAGGCUGAUACCGCCCAAGAGUUCAUAUCGACGGCGGUGUUUGGCACCUCGAUGUCGGCUCAUCACAUCCUGGGGCUGAAGUAGGUCCCAAGGGUAUGGCUGUUCGCCAUUUAAAGUGGUACGCGAGCUGGGUUUAGAACGUCGUGAGACAGUUCGGUCCCUAUCUGCCGUGGGCGCUGGAGAACUGAGGGGGGCUGCUCCUAGUACGAGAGGACCGGAGUGGACGCAUCACUGGUGUUCGGGUUGUCAUGCCAAUGGCACUGCCCGGUAGCUAAAUGCGGAAGAGAUAAGUGCUGAAAGCAUCUAAGCACGAAACUUGCCCCGAGAUGAGUUCUCCCUGAGACUUAGAGUCUCCUGAAGGAACGUUGAAG
rnacentral:rRNA from 1 species